UACAGAGGAUGCAAGCGUUAUCCGGAAUGAUUGGGCGUAAAGCGUCUGUAGGUGGCUUUUAAGUCCGCCGUCAAAUCCCAGGGCUCAACUCUGGACAGGCGGUGGAAACUACCAAGCUGGAGUACGGUAGGGCAGAGGGAAUUUCCGGUGGAGCGGUGGAAAUGCGUAGAGGAUCGGAAAAGAACACCAACGGCGAAAGCAACUCUGCUGGGCCGACACUGACACUGAGAGACGAAAGCUAGGGGAGCGAAUGGG
rnacentral:rRNA from 1 species